GUUAAGCGACUAAGCGUACACGGUGGAUGCCCUGGCAGUCAGAGGCGAUGAAGGACGUGCUAAUCUGCGAUAAGCGUCGGUAAGGUGAUAUGAACCGUUAUAACCGGCGAUUUCCGAAUGGGGAAACCCAGUGUGUUUCGACACACUAUCAUUAACUGAAUCCAUAGGUUAAUGAGGCGAACCGGGGGAACUGAAACAUCUAAGUACCCCGAGGAAAAGAAAUCAACCGAGAUUCCCCCAGUAGCGGCGAGCGAACGGGGAGCAGCCCAGAGCCUGAAUCAGUGUGUGUGUUAGUGGAAGCGUCUGGAAAGGCGCGCGAUACAGGGUGACAGCCCCGUACACAAAAAUGCACAUGCUGUGAGCUCGAUGAGUAGGGCGGGACACGUGGUAUCCUGUCUGAAUAUGGGGGGACCAUCCUCCAAGGCUAAAUACUCCUGACUGACCGAUAGUGAACCAGUACCGUGAGGGAAAGGCGAAAAGAACCCCGGCGAGGGGAGUGAAAAAGAACCUGAAACCGUGUACGUACAAGCAGUGGGAGCACGCUUAGGCGUGUGACUGCGUACCUUUUGUAUAAUGGGUCAGCGACUUAUAUUCUGUAGCAAGGUUAACCGAAUAGGGGAGCCGAAGGGAAACCGAGUCUUAACUGGGCGUUAAGUUGCAGGGUAUAGACCCGAAACCCGGUGAUCUAGCCAUGGGCAGGUUGAAGGUUGGGUAACACUAACUGGAGGACCGAACCGACUAAUGUUGAAAAAUUAGCGGAUGACUUGUGGCUGGGGGUGAAAGGCCAAUCAAACCGGGAGAUAGCUGGUUCUCCCCGAAAGCUAUUUAGGUAGCGCCUCGUGAAUUCAUCUCCGGGGGUAGAGCACUGUUUCGGCAAGGGGGUCAUCCCGACUUACCAACCCGAUGCAAACUGCGAAUACCGGAGAAUGUUAUCACGGGAGACACACGGCGGGUGCUAACGUCCGUCGUGAAGAGGGAAACAACCCAGACCGCCAGCUAAGGUCCCAAAGUCAUGGUUAAGUGGGAAACGAUGUGGGAAGGCCCAGACAGCCAGGAUGUUGGCUUAGAAGCAGCCAUCAUUUAAAGAAAGCGUAAUAGCUCACUGGUCGAGUCGGCCUGCGCGGAAGAUGUAACGGGGCUAAACCAUGCACCGAAGCUGCGGCAGCGACGCUGAUGCGUUGUUGGGUAGGGGAGCGUUCUGUAAGCCUGCGAAGGUGUGCUGUGAGGCAUGCUGGAGGUAUCAGAAGUGCGAAUGCUGACAUAAGUAACGAUAAAGCGGGUGAAAAGCCCGCUCGCCGGAAGACCAAGGGUUCCUGUCCAACGUUAAUCGGGGCAGGGUGAGUCGACCCCUAAGGCGAGGCCGAAAGGCGUAGUCGAUGGGAAACAGGUUAAUAUUCCUGUACUUGGUGUUACUGCGAAGGGGGGACGGAGAAGGCUAUGUUGGCCGGGCGACGGUUGUCCCGGUUUAAGCGUGUAGGCUGGUUUUCCAGGCAAAUCCGGAAAAUCAAGGCUGAGGCGUGAUGACGAGGCACUACGGUGCUGAAGCAACAAAUGCCCUGCUUCCAGGAAAAGCCUCUAAGCAUCAGGUAACAUCAAAUCGUACCCCAAACCGACACAGGUGGUCAGGUAGAGAAUACCAAGGCGCUUGAGAGAACUCGGGUGAAGGAACUAGGCAAAAUGGUGCCGUAACUUCGGGAGAAGGCACGCUGAUAUGUAGGUGAAGCGACUUGCUCGUGGAGCUGAAAUCAGUCGAAGAUACCAGCUGGCUGCAACUGUUUAUUAAAAACACAGCACUGUGCAAACACGAAAGUGGACGUAUACGGUGUGACGCCUGCCCGGUGCCGGAAGGUUAAUUGAUGGGGUUAGCGCAAGCGAAGCUCUUGAUCGAAGCCCCGGUAAACGGCGGCCGUAACUAUAACGGUCCUAAGGUAGCGAAAUUCCUUGUCGGGUAAGUUCCGACCUGCACGAAUGGCGUAAUGAUGGCCAGGCUGUCUCCACCCG
rnacentral:rRNA from 1 species